GACGAACGCUGGCGGCGUGCCUAAUACAUGCAAGUAGAACGCUGAAGAGAGGAGCUUGCUCUUCUUGGAUGAGUUGCGAACGGGUGAGUAACGCGUAGGUAACCUGCCUGGUAGCGGGGGAUAACUAUUGGAAACGAUAGCUAAUACCGCAUAAAAUUGAUUAUUGCAUGAUAAUUAAUUGAAAGAUGCAAUUGCAUCACUACCAGAUGGACCUGCGUUGUAUUAGCUAGUUGGUGAGGUAACGGCUCACCAAGGCGACGAUACAUAGCCGACCUGAGAGGGUGAUCGGCCACACUGGGACUGAGACACGGCCCAAACUCCUACGGGAGGCAGCAGUAGGGAAUCUUCGGCAAUGGGGGGAACCCUGACCGAGCAACGCCGCGUGAGUGAAGAAGGUUUUCGGAUCGUAAAGCUCUGUUGUAAGAGAAGAACGGGUGUGAGAGUGGAAAGUUCACACUGUGACGGUAUCUUACCAGAAAGGGACGGCUAACUACGUGCCAGCAGCCGCGGUAAUACGUAGGUCCCGAGCGUUGUCCGGAUUUAUUGGGCGUAAAGCGAGCGCAGGCGGUUAGAUAAGUCUGAAGUUAAAGGCUGUGGCUUAACCAUAGUAUGCUUUGGAAACUGUUUAACUUGAGUGCAGAAGGGGAGAGUGGAAUUCCAUGUGUAGCGGUGAAAUGCGUAGAUAUAUGGAGGAACACCGGUGGCGAAAGCGGCUCUCUGGUCUGUAACUGACGCUGAGGCUCGAAAGCGUGGGGAGCAAACAGGAUUAGAUACCCUGGUAGUCCACGCCGUAAACGAUGAGUGCUAGGUGUUAGGCCCUUUCCGGGGCUUAGUGCCGCAGCUAACGCAUUAAGCACUCCGCCUGGGGAGUACGACCGCAAGGUUGAAACUCAAAGGAAUUGACGGGGGCCCGCACAAGCGGUGGAGCAUGUGGUUUAAUUCGAAGCAACGCGAAGAACCUUACCAGGUCUUGACAUCCCUCUGACCGCUCUAGAGAUAGAGUUUUCCUUCGGGACAGAGGUGACAGGUGGUGCAUGGUUGUCGUCAGCUCGUGUCGUGAGAUGUUGGGUUAAGUCCCGCAACGAGCGCAACCCCUAUUGUUAGUUGCCAUCAUUCAGUUGGGCACUCUAGCGAGACUGCCGGUAAUAAACCGGAGGAAGGUGGGGAUGACGUCAAAUCAUCAUGCCCCUUAUGACCUGGGCUGCACACGUGCUACAAUGGCUGGUACAACGAGUCGCAAGCCGGUGACGGCAAGCUAAUCUCUGAAAGCCAGUCUCAGUUCGGAUUGUAGGCUGCAACUCGCCUACAUGAAGUCGGAAUCGCUAGUAAUCGCGGAUCAGCACGCCGCGGUGAAUACGUUCCCGGGCCU
rnacentral:rRNA from 1 species